GACGAACGCUGGCGGCGUGCUUAACACAUGCAAGUCGAACGGAAAGGCCCUGCUUUUGUGGGGUGCUCGAGUGGCGAACGGGUGAGUAACACGUGAGUAACCUGCCUUGACUUUGGGUUAACUUCAGGAAACUGGGGCUAAUACCGGAUAGGAGCUCCUGCUGCAUGGUGGGGGUUGGAAAGUUUCGGCGGUUGGGGAUGGCCUCGCGGCUUAUCAGCUUGUUGGUGGGGUAGUGGCUUACCAAGGCUUUGACGGUUAGCCGGCCUGAGAGGGUGACCGGCCACAUUGGGACUGAGAUACGGCCCAGACUCCUACGGGAGGCAGCAGUGGGGAAUAUUGCACAAUGGGCGGAAGCCUGAUGCAGCAACGCCGCGUGCGGGAUGACGGCCUUCGGGUUGUAAACCGCUUUCGCCUGUGACGAAGCGUGAGUGACGGUAAUGGGUAAAGAAGCACCGGCUAACUACGUG
rnacentral:rRNA from 1 species